GUGCCUAACACGCUCCUGCUGGUUUUGUUUCGGUUUCUUGUCAGAGGGAGCUGUCGGUGGUGCUGAACUAGGGGUGAGUUUGUGCCAUGUGAACAUCCUCGGGGGAUGCAGCCUCUGCCUCCACUCUGUGCUCCCAGGUCUCUGGGCCAUCCCUGUGAAGGCAAGGUGAGCCCUUCUGCCUGGGGUAGGGAGCUGCCUCUGACUGCCAGAAAUGUCCCUCUGAACAGAGAUUGUGUAGCAGCUUUCUGCGAGGCGGAAAACAAAGCUUUUCUGUCAGCCAUUGGUGAAUGAAUGUGCUCCUCCUGGAACAAGCUGUGCCUUGAAACUAUCUGGUGCUGGAAGUAAACUAAUGGAGGUAAUGAGAGCAAUUACAGGCUCCACACUAUUGUAAUUCAUGUCUUUCUAGAAUCCAUACUGCAGAUGUGAAAGACAAGAAGCUGUAGGUAGCAGAGGUGAACUGCAGUGCCUUCCUUCCCAGGCUUUGGAGCAGGUGUGCUCCAGCUCCUCACGUCCCACCUUCCUUUCCUCUCACCAACUCUUUCCAUGCAGACCAUGAGAUCUUCC
rnacentral:lncRNA from 1 species